AUGGGCUGGGCUGUGGUUCUCCUUGCACUUCUCACGUACUGCACAGGCAUUGAUGGUCAGCCCACCUGGUCUCAGCCUUCCUCCAGCUCUGUGUCUCUGGGAGAAACAGCUACACUCCCCUGCACGACUCAGAGUACCUACAACAUUGGCUGGUAUCAGCAGAAGUCUGGAGAAGGCCCUCGCUUUGUCCACUGCAGCAGCUGCAGCAACAGGGGACCAGGGAUCCCCGAUCGGUUCACUGCAACCCAGUCUGGGAGCAGUGGAUCCUUAGCCAUCACCAACGCCCAGGCUGAGGACGAGGCAGAUUAUUACUGUGGUAGUUGGAACAGUGCUGGUAACGCGUUGCACGGUGGUAGAUUCUUAUGGGGAAGUGUGACAGAAACCUUCACCUUUCGAGCUCAGCACAAAAGAGUCAACCGCAUCCUCUGA